GCUGCAAAAGAAAUGAGUCUAAUUUGAAGUUUUGUCUGAUUCUGAGUAAACUGUUAGGUCGCCAACUCUUGGUUUUUCGUUGUCGGGAAAGUCGACACAAUUUCCUCUGAUUCCUGUCGGUAUGUAACGUUUCUACUUUGUGAGAUUGAAAAUUGAAAAAAAAAUUAAGCGUGAUUGAUGAGAGAUUUGCUUACAUCAGCUUCGUCUGCCUUUGGUGUAGUCAUUGAUCUUGCAAGAGAGAAAAUUUGAAUAUGUUAAUUUGGUUGUUCUGUUUUGUUAUUCGUCUCGGUUAGUUAAAUGUCAACUG
rnacentral:lncRNA from 1 species